rnacentral:rRNA from 1 species
GACGGAGGAUGCAAGCGUUAUCCGGAAUGAUUGGGCGUAAAGCGUCCGCAGGUGGCAGUUCAAGUCUGCUGUCAAAGACCGGGGCUUAACUUCGGAAAGGCAGUGGAAACUGAACAGCUAGAGUAUGGUAGGGGCAGAGGGAAUUCCUGGUGUAGCGGUGAAAUGCGUAGAGAUCAGGAGGAACACCCGGGCGAAGGCGGCCCUCUGGCUCGACCCUGACGCUGAGGCGCGAAAGCGUGGGAGCGAACGGG